GUGUCAGGACCCCAACCCACCCAAAACCCAGUUUGGGACUCAACCCACAUGUCUGGGACUUGAACCCAGCCCAAAUCCAUGGUCUUCCAACUGAGAUCACACACCUGGUUUCGGGACCUAAUGAAGCUCAGGUUCUUGUCUCAUUGCAGGAAGAAUUCAUUGAGAGACAAAGUGAUAGGGUCGUAAAGGCCACACCAAAAUGACUUCUCAACGGAAGCAAACUUUCCCUUGAAGGCUUUUGAGUCCUGUCGACAGAAGGAACUCUGACCAUCUGAAACAGGAAGCCCUGUGACCUCAAGUUCACAAGUUCUAGGAUAGGAUCACAGGCUCUGGACCCAGACACUGGAGUUCAAACUCCUGAGUCAUCAUAUACUAGCUGAGUCUGCAUCCCACUAUGAGACUGAAAAUGCCAAAUGAUGGCUUUCCCCGCCUUCCUUGCAGCUAAGGCCUGAGCGUGUGACCCACUGCUGGCUAGUAGACCACUGAGAGAGAGUCUUCUGGAGCCCUUUCUGGAAAAGGCUUUUCUCUCACAUAAAAAGAACAGCCUUGGGCUUCCCUGAUGGUCCAGUGGUUAAAAAUCCACCUUGCAAUGCAGGGGACAUGGGUUCGAUGCUUGGUCCAGGAACUAAGAUCCCACAUGCCUCGGGGCAACUAAGCCUGUGGGGCGCGACUCCUGCAGUCUAUGCCCUGCAACGAGAAGCCAACACAAUGAGAAGCCGCAACUGGAGAGUAUCCCCUGCUCAUCACAACAAGAGAAAGCCCGCAUGCAGCAACAAAGACCCAGCACAGCCAAAAAAAAAAGAUAGCCUUUCCUCAUUGUUUAAACCACUGCAGACUGACUUUACUGUUACUUGCAGCCUAAAGCCUCCAUAACUGAUACAGAACUGGUUGCUACAAUUAUGGCAGGAAUCCAUGUGAGAAAUGAGGCUUAAUUGGAGGCACAGAAAAGAAAGAAUAGAGCUGAGGAAAGCUUGGAAGUAAAGUCAGUAAGGCUGGGUGACUGAUCGGGCGCAGGGGUUGAGCUGUGUGCUGUGUAGAAUAAAAGAAGUUUAAACCCCAGGUUUUAAACCCCAGAGGUUUAAAACACUGAUAUUAAGGAUCCCAGCAAGACAGAUACAUACUGAAUGAAAGCACCAACUAUACCAGGCAGCCUACGCCAAGGGCCAACCUGUACUGUAGGAGUUGUGAGGAGGGAGGGAUGGGGAGCUGGCCCCGGACUUGAAGGAUGGCUGGGCUUUGGGUUUGGAUAGAUAAAGGAGAUUAUGAUCAUCUGGGCAGGCCUUUCCUGAUACAUCUUAGACCAAAUUUUAUAGCUAGUACUC
ensembl:lncRNA